AUUGAACGCUGGCGGCAGGCCUAACACAUGCAAGUCGAACGAGUGGCGACCGGGUGAGUAUUGUCUGGGAACCUGCCUGAUGGAGGGGGAUAACUUCUGGAAACGGUAGCUAAUACCGCAUACCAUCGGAUGUGCCCAGAUGUGAUUAGCUAGUAGGUGGGGGACCGGCUCACCGAGGCGACGAUCCCUAGCUGGUCUGAGAGGAUGACCAGCCAAACUGGAACUGAGACACGGUCCAGACGCCUACGGGAGGCAGCAGUGGGGAAUAUUGCACAAUGGGCGCAAGCCUGAUGCAGCCAUGCCGCGUGUAUGAAGAAGGCCUUCGGGUUGUAAAGUACUUUCAGCGGGGAGGCGUUACCCGCAGAAGAAGCACCGGCUAACUCCGUGCCAGCAGCCGCGGUAAUUC
rnacentral:rRNA from 1 species